rnacentral:lncRNA from 1 species
GUGUUAUUUAUUUUAUUACAUAUAUAUUUGUGUGUGUGUGUGUGUGUGUGUAUAUAUAUAUAUAUAUAUAUAUAUAUAUAUAUAUAUAUAUAUAUAUAUAUAUAUAUAUAUAAAGGCUUUAUAAACCUUUCCCACUCUCCUAUAAACCUUUUACACAGACUUCUGGAUUAAGAUAGCUGCCAUGCAGAAGCAGGACUCUUUCUCUCCUCACCAUCGACGAAUAUAGACUACCUCAAAAGGACAACACCCCACCCCCCAAGUUCAGAUGAAUGAAGGGACCUCACAGUAGGGCACAGCACUGAAGGAUAAUUAACUCUGCUGUUUUUGUUAUUGUUAAUGUUGAGUUGUAUCCAAUUAACUCUUCAUGACUCCAUGUGAAGUUUUAACUCUGAAGUUCAAUAAUGCCAGGAUUUAUUUGGCUGCCAUAUCUAUCUAGCUGACCCUAGAGGGAUCCCUGGGACAUCUGAAACAAUUAGGGUGAUGCUACUGUAUUCUGCCAAACUUCUAGACCCAUGGGAACUGCUGAUAUAGUCAGGAAGCCUAUCUGGGUGCUUGGUAGAAAAGGAAACAUCCUUCUGCAGAAAUAUAUAAACCUGGGCUCAACAAGAAGGAUCAUUUUAGAGAUCAGAAGAGUGGACAUCCAUGAUGCCUGGGCAAUCUUUUAUGAGACGUUAAAUUCAAUUGGGCACUGUAAAGCAAGUAGUAUUUGGAGUGGAGGAACACUUGGUGAAAUCUCUUAUUCUUAAUGAUGUUGCCCUGGAAAAUGCAUGCUGUCUCAGAAGAAUAUAGGAAGGAAGAUGAAGCUCUAUCGAUGUAUCAUUUUAGCCGAUAUUUGAAGUCUCAGCAAAUUUCCAAGUAAAUGUUGUCAUCCCAGCCAAAGAGGCAACUCAUGUUUUAAUUGAAAGACUUUCCAUCUGCUGAUGUGAAGACAUUCACUAUUGCAGUUCCAAAAGGACAACUUGUUCAAGACAAAGAAAGGGAAUUGUGCCAAUAACAGCAACUACAUUUUCUGUAGCCUGCCUCCAUGUCCUGUUUCCCCCACUCUAGUUUUAUAGUGUAUUGAUGAAACAGAAUAUAGAGAACUAGGAGAUAAGGUACAAGGAUAAAAACCAAUCUAGUUAUAAAAGUUGGAUGGCUUAUUUCUGAAGAAAAGGAACACCAUUCUAAUUACUGAGUGAAAAAAUAAAAGGCUUAUGAGAGCCA